rnacentral:rRNA from 1 species
UACGAAGGGGGCUAGCGUUGUUCGGAAUUACUGGGCGUAAAGCGUGCGCAGGCGGCUUCUCAAGUCAGGGGUGAAAGCCCAGAGCUCAACUCUGGAACUGCCUUUGAGACUGAGAGGCUUGAGUACGGGAGAGGUGAGUGGAAUUCCCAGUGUAGAGGUGAAAUUCGUAGAUAUUGGGAAGAACACCGGUGGCGAAGGCGGCUCACUGGCUCAUUACUGACGCUCAGGCGCGAUAGCGUGGGGAUCAAACAGG